rnacentral:rRNA from 1 species
AGAGACAGCAGUAGCCGCGGGAAUACGGAGGGUGCAAGCGUUAAUCGGAAUUACUGGGCGUAAAGCGCACGCAGGCGGUUUGUUAAGUCAGAUGUGGAAUCCCCGAGCUUAACUUGGGAACUGCAUUUGAAACUGGCAAGCUAGAGUCUUGUAGAGGGGGGUAGAAUUCCAGGUGUAGCGGUGAAAUGCGUAGAGAUCUGGAGGAAUACCGGUGGCGAAGGCGGCCCCCUGGACAAAGACUGACGCUCAGGUGCGAAAGCGUGGGGAGCAAACAGGAUUAGAUACCCAGUAGUCCCUGUCUCUUAUACC